UACGGAGGGUGCAAGCGUUGCUCGGAAUCAUUGGGCGUAAAGCGCGCGUAGGCGGUCUCGCAAGUUGGGUGUGAAAGCCCUCGGCUUAACCGAGGAAGUGCAUUCAAAACUACGAGACUUGAAUACUGGAGAGGGUUGCGGAAUUCCCGGUGUAGAGGUGAAAUUCGUAGAUAUCGGGAGGAACACCAGUGGCGAAGGCGGCAGCCUGGACAGAUAUUGACGCUGAGGUGCGAAAGCGUGGGGAGCAAACGGG
rnacentral:rRNA from 1 species